UACCAGCUCUCCGAGUGGUAGGGAUGAUUAUUGGGCUUAAAGCGUCCGUAGCCGGCUUAGCAAGUUUCCUGUUAAACUCUGCGACUUAAUCGUUGAAUCGCGGGAAAUACUACUAGGCUAGGAGGCGGGAGAGGUCAACGGUACUUCUGGGGUAGGGGUUAAAUCCUAUAAUCCCGGGAGGACCACCAGUGGCGAAGGCUGUUGACUAGAACGCGCUCGACGGUGAGGGACGAAAGCUGGGGGAGCGAACCGGAUUAGAUACCCGGGUAGUCCCAGCUGUAAACGAUGCGGGCUAGGUGUUGGGAUGGCUACGUGCCAUUUCAGUGCCGCAGGGAAGCCAUUAAGCCCGCCGCCUGGGGAGUACGGCCGCAAGGCUGAAACUUAAAGGAAUUGGCGGGGGAGCACCACAAGGCGUGAAGCUUGCGGUUC
rnacentral:rRNA from 1 species